rnacentral:rRNA from 1 species
AACGAACGCUGGCGGCGUGCUUAACACAUGCAAGUCGAACGUGAAAGACUUCGGUCGAGUAAAGUGGCGAACGGGUGAGUAACGCGUGGGUAAUCUGCCCUCGGGCGGGGGAUAACCUCUCGAAAGGGGGGCGUAAUACCGCAUGAGACCACGGCUUCUUGGAGCUGUGGGAAAAGGUGGGUCGCAAGACCAGCCACCUGAGGAUGAGCCCGCGUACCAUUAGGUAGUUGGUGGGGUAAUGGCCUACCAAGCCUGAGAUGGUUAGCUGGUCUGAGAGGACGAUCAGCCACACUGGGACUGAGACACGGCCCAGACUCCUACGGGAGGCAGCAGUGGGGAAUAUUGCGCAAUGGGGGGAAACCCUGACGCAGCAACGCCGCGUGUGUGAAGAAGGCC